ACCGUCUCGGCGACGCUAUCCAGAGUAAAGGGCACCGGCUGUGGGAGUUCGACGACAGCCAUUAAGGCAGAAGAUCCAUAGCGUUCCGACCUCGCAACAUAAUGUGUGUGUGUUGGGGAAGAGCAGCAGUCCCUAAUAUGUGUACAGUGUUACAGUUCAGAUUCAACAUCAAUGCGUGACUCACGUUCUCCAAGGGAUAGGAGGCCACGCUCUGAGGCAGGGCCAGGCUGUCGGCCCCCCUCACCACCACCAGCACGUUAGCCCUGGGUCUCUGGAACAACGGACCAGCCUUCAGGCCUGGCCAAGACAGAUCCUGUUAUAAGGAACAAACAAAUCAGUUGAAGCCAUUUAAUCUCCAGGGGUCAACUUCCACGUACAAUUAUCUCCUUGAAUUAUCUUGUCAAAUUAAUUCUCUGUUCUGAAUAUGGGAACGUAAAGUCAUACCUCCUUGACAGAGAAACCCAUGGUUAGGGCCACCAGGUCUGGGAUCUUCUCGCCAGAGAUUGGCCAGUCUCCUUUCUGGAAGGACACAUAAUCCGGAGACUGCAGGAUGGUUAGGCUAUCCCCGUUGACGCCUGGAAAGGAAAGGUGAAUGUGAAAAACUGAUAUUUUCACUUGCAUUCGGU